rnacentral:lncRNA from 1 species
UAGUUUGCCAUAUCAAAUGCUUUCCACGCGAAUUGUUGUUGUCAGUGUCAUAUUUGACUUAUGCACGUCAAACUGCAAUUAUGCAACUGCCUUAAUAAAAAGAAGAACCAAGAAAAAAUAGUAACGUUAGCUUCUGCGAAAUUAGAAAAUCGUUGAAAUGGUAAAAAGAAUUUGAUGUUGAUCGUUCAGUUUGUAUGGCAGCUAAAAGUUAUAGUGUUCUGAUAAUGGCGCUUCCGACAAAUUAGCAGUUUCUUGUGAUAUUCUCUCCAAACGUGUGCAAAAUAACAGAUCAAUAGAUCAGUAUAACAUCUUAUAUAUGUAUGUAUAUAUUAUAGGGCCACUGACGUCUCCUGCUGUGUGCCAAAAGCAUAACAUAUCCUGUUCAGCGUAUAACAACAAUAAAACAACUCUUUUGAAUUCAUAUUCAUAGCCAAUCUAUAUGCUUCGCACUCAACGAGUUUCACAUUAGUCCCAACACUAACAGCACAGCAAUAUGUAUGUAUGUAUAAAAUUUGAAUUCAUUUCAGUUAGACUUGACAAUAAAAAUUGCAAUUUAUUUCCAAGAAAAAAAAUUUAUUUUUGUGUUAUAAAAAUUAAGUUUCAAAUAAAAAAAAAUCGUUUUUAUUGUAUAUCAAAAUUUUUAAUGCCAAUUUUUAAUGAAUAGUUUCAUGUAUGGUACUUAUACAAUAUGAUAUUUUUGCUGUUAGCACUUUUGCUUUUAUAUAAUUAAAUUGUCAUAUUUAUAUGUAUUGUAGUACGUGUUUUACAUGCACGUUCACACGCACACACAUGCACGUUUGUGCCUGUAUGCAUUUUUGUACGCAUGUAUUUAAUUGUAAUUAGCUUAAUCAAUCUAAUGACGUCUAAAAAAGCUUACUACUUAUGUAUGUAUGCAAUGUUAACAAAAAUACAUAUGUAUGUAUGUACGAAAGCUAUAAUCAACACAACACACCAAAAUAUAUGUUUAUGUAUAAAUAUAU